AAAUUUUAAGCCUAACGAUAAAAGUUAUUUCGUAGAGAAUAUUGUUUGGGAUUUGGAGCAUCGAUCCAACCACACACACACACACACAGCGAUAGAGAGAGAGAGAGAGAGAGGAAAAGGAAAAGAAUCUUCCGGGAAUUGAAGGAAAAGAAAGAAAGAUGGAGGAUUUGGUGGGAAUGGAUAGGGAUUAGGGAUUAGAGAAAUAGAGACUAGAGAGGGUCCAGCGUAGUAGCAGUUUCAGUGUUGGUUCACUCCUCGCUACGCAACACCCAUUUUUCCUCAACAACAUUAAUUCAGCUGCUCCAACAUCAAGAGAUUUGGGCGUGGUGUUGCAUGUGAUUUAGGAAAUCAUGACCUCUGCUCAUGACCUUACUGAUAAUGAAGAUGAUGGGCAGCAGCAGUCAGAAUCACAAAUGCAGUCCUCAUCUGCAAAUGGAAUUUCUGAUCCAGGUAUUGGUACGCAGACAGUUCAGUAUGCAACACCUGGCCAGCUUGGAACUGGGCAUGCUAUGGUAUAUAAGAUAGACAUACAUUGCUGUUGUUUUAUCAUUGAAGCAAUUAGCAAAUCAUGAUGAAAAUUUUCCCAGGUUUAUUCUUCCUCUAAUCCAUGAAUAAAUUGGCUUUCCUACUACAUUUUUUUUUAUCCCUGAAGGUGGGUAUUUUUCAUGUGCCACAAGUUAUUUUAAAAGUAGUUAUAUUAUAUGAAAUACUACCUUUUGUGUUUCUUACCAGUAGGUGUGACAAAUAGUGAUGAGUUACAUUGCAAUCUGAAGUUUUUCUUAUAAAAAAGAUUUCUUCAGAAGUUGCGUUUGGUGAAUUGACAUUGAUUUUUAAGAAACCAGAGUUUUUUUUUUGUGGCUGUUGAAGGUAAAUGAAUAGAUGCCCAAGCAAGUACUGGUGUCACUUUGUUAUUUAGAUGUGAUAUUAAAGAAGUUUGUUCAGAAUCAUUGUUUGCACCAGUAAUUAUAGCUUGGAGUUUGGUUUACUUUGUCACGCCAUUGAAUUACUGUACCACCUGUGUAUCCAUAUCCAGAUCCUUACUACAGAAGCAUCUUUGCGCCCUAUGAUACACAAUCUUAUCCCCCACAAACCUAUGGUGGACAGCCAAUGGUCCAUCUUCAGUUAAUGGGAAUUCAGCAAGCUGGUGUUCCUCUGCCAACUGAUGCAGUUGAGGAGCCUGUGUUUGUUAAUGCAAAACAAUAUCACGGUAUAUUAAGGCGUAGACAAUCGCGUGCCAAAGCUGAAUCAGAAAAUAAAGUUAUAAGAAAUCGGAAGCCAUACUUGCAUGAAUCUCGACACUUGCAUGCACUGAGAAGAGCAAGAGGAUGUGGUGGUCGGUUUCUGAAUUCAAAGAAAAAUGAUGAUCAACAUGAUGAUGUGGCAUCACCAGAUAAAUCACAAUCGAAUAUCAAUCUCAAUUCUGAUAAAAGUGAUCUUACUUCGUCAGAUAGGACAUCCUAAAACUGCUGAAAUGAUGAUACCUUAGACAGCAGGGAUCUACUGUAUGCCCCAAGAUCAAUAAUACCUGCCUCAGAUAUCUCACUAGUGCUUCAUUCUGGCUUUGUACAAUCCCAUAGGUUUUGUGUAAUAGGAACGUUAGGAUAUCGCAUGAUGCAGGUAAAAUGUAAAUUGAAGUAAUUUUAUGAAAUAUUGUCUUUUCUAGCCUUUGGUAGGCGGUUUUUUUUUUUUUUUUUUUGUGAGCAUUUAUUUGUAUUUGGUACCGCAGAGAGAUUAGAGACUGUCCGAAGCCACGUUUGUUUGGAUCAUGUUUAUACCUUGCUAUAGACUUUCAACCAGAUUGAUGAUGGAUAUUGGUAGUUGUUUGUUCAAUAGCUGAUAGAAAGAUAAAUAAGGUUCACAUGUGUUGCUGAUGUUGAAAUGAAUCUUGUUUUUGGUCAGAAUUAGAAUGUAUCUCUUCGCUUUUUAAUCCUAAUCUAUAUCAUUGAAACUGAUAUAGUUUACAUUCCUUCGAAAGAAUACCCUGUCGUUGAAAACUUAAAUUACCCUCCUCUGUAACUCAAAUGACUUCUAACUAUUACAUCCAUCAACUAUCACUUACAUAUGCAACAAGAAGCAAAUUCCUACAAUAAGGAAACUCAGUUUCUUCAUGAUAAACUUAUCUUGAAUUCUGAGACCGAACUCUCAGUUCUUUCAACGGCUAGGCUUAACACAUUUGAUAGUUUGGCAUUUGUUGUAUAUGUCCUAAAAUUAUGUUAAUUGGCUCCACAACCAGAACUAGCACUGAAGCAUGCCCUGGAGAACCUACAAGAUUCCCAAACACUCCAUAUACUUUUAGACUCGGCCCAUUGUCAUUAUUCUCUAACUUCUGAUCCAUGGGCCAAAUUUUCCUGGAUUGUGUUGUUGGACCCAAGCCCAUUAAUACCACCGUGUUAUGUUUCAAAAACUAUAAAUAGGUACGUUCGUUGAACAAAUAUAUAAGAAUUAUAUUUCAUGCAAUUAAAAUAAAGUAUGUUCUUGUCCCAUUAUAGCAGUGUUCAGUUAAUAUGCUUUUGUUACAUUUUAGUCGAUUUGUAAUUUGAAUAAAUAAUUCAUUGACUCUGCACAAUUGAGUAGCAUGUUUAAGAAUGAAGUUUUGAAAGAGAGAGAACGAGUUUUUUAUUUUUAAAUGAAGAUAAUUAUAUAGUUUAUAAAGAUAAUAAAAAAUUAAACAUUAAAUUUAUG